AUGUUGUCAGAGAAACAAUCUGUGGAGCCCUUCGAGGCCAUGGAGGCUGCCAGGCCAUCAGCCUCCAUGUCGAAGGAAUCGGAGCCCGCCGGCGCUAGGGGCAUCACCGCCACCACACCAUGGGGCGCCCACGAGACGAACAUACUGUUGGUCCGCCUUGCCCCACACAAGGCGCUUGACUAUGUCAUCAUGCACGUUGGCUCCCGCAGCUAUGCCUUCGUUCUUUUCCGCUCCAUCACCGAGUCUCGGUCCUUCCUCGAGGCACUUUGUGCGUCCAAGGUCAAGUGCACCUUUAUCUGGAUCAAGUUCGUCCGGCCGAUUUUGGGAACCUAUGGGUUGGAGGAAUUAUUCAUCUAUUUCAAAGCAGGAGGUAGACGAAGAGUUUCGAAAGUUUGGAAAGAUUGA
rnacentral:rRNA from 1 species